CGGGACGGGUGAGUAAUGCUUGGGAAUCUGGCUUAUGGAGGGGGAUAACUACGGGAAACUGUAGCUAAUACCGCGUAGUAUCGGAAGAUGAAAGUGCGGGACCGUAAGGCCGCAUGCCAUGGGAUGAGCCCAAGUGGGAUUAGGUAGUUGGUGGGGUAAAGGCCUACCAAGCCUGCGAUCUCUAGCUGGCCUGAGAGGAUGGCCAGCCACACUGGAACUGAGACACGGUCCAG
rnacentral:rRNA from 1 species